rnacentral:rRNA from 1 species
CCCUUAGAUGUCCGGGGCUGCACGCGCGCUACACUGAAGGAAUCAGCGUGCUAAAACCAUUGUCGAAAGGCAUUGGUAAACCCAUUAAAAUCCUACGUGAUUGGGAUCAGGAAUUGCAAUUAUUUCCCUUGAACGAGGAAUUCCCAGUAAGUGUGGGUCAUAAGCUCGCGUUGAUUACGUCCCUGCCCUUUGUACACACCGCCCGUCGCUGCCCGGGACUGAGCCGUUUCGAGAAAAGCGGGGACUGCUGCUGUCGGGGCUUUCGGGCCUUGGCUUCGGUGGAAACCGCUUUAAUCGCAGUGGCUUGAACCGGGCAAAAGUCGUAACA